rnacentral:rRNA from 1 species
UACGGAGGGUGCAAGCGUUAUCCGGAUUCACUGGGUUUAAAGGGUGCGUAGGAGGGCAGGUAAGUCAGUGGUGAAAUCCCCGAGCUUAACUUGGGAACUGCCGUUGAUACUAUCUGUCUUGAAUGCUGUGGAGGUGAGCGGAAUAUGUCAUGUAGCGGUGAAAUGCUUAGAUAUGACAUAGAACACCAAUUGCGAAGGCAGCUCGCUACACAGUUAUUGACUCUGAGGCACGAAAGCGUGGAGAUCAAACAGG